AGCAACGCACCGGAGAGACGAUGGCUGCCAUGAAGUCUCUACUUCUCCCACUGAUCCUGGCUCUUUUAUUUCCGGUGAUAGAGGCUCAAACCGGGAUUUUGUGCACAUUUAUUUUCCUCAUUGAGCCCUUCUUCGCCUGCACUGGAGGAAGCAGCCCGGUUGCUACUUUCAUAGACUUUGUGCAGUCUAUUUUCUGUGCUAACUCCUGAUUCAGGGAAACUCGAGAAAGGGCUCCUAAGGCGUGUUCAAAGGAUAGUCCUCCAUUAAAAAUAUAAACAUAUAUAGGCGAUCAAAAUCAAAACAAAGGUUCAAUUUUUGAUAGUGUAUAAAAUCUAGUCUUUUAAGUCUUUACUCUUUAUCUUUCACGUGGGCAGUACUAAGUACUCUGAAAAGUAGGUAAUGUUAUAAAAAUAACAUUUUGGAGUUUCAGUAAGUGUUCACAGCACCAAUGUGACCCCCCCCCCCUUUUAGAAAAUUCUGAUUAUUCCCCCAACCACCAGGCAGAUUUUUUUUUUUUGGGGGGGGGGAUUUUUUAUAGAGUUUAGGCCAGUGUUUACUUAAAAUGGCCCCAACUUGAUCAUUAUCACCCAAAAGAGACGGUACCUCUAAUUUAAGAUAAGAAAAAAUCAAGCCAUCGGCAUGCUCAGCGCACUGCUGUUGCGAGGACUUUCAACGUCAGGCAGCAGUCAGCACAAUGACUAUCACUAUCAGCCAACUGAGACGUUGUGAAUUGGUCUAUCCAAAACCGACCCAGAAUUGGCCGUCCAAGGGUAACAAUGCCCUUAUCAAGAACUAUUAUUAUCAGGACAGAGCGCCUGAGGAAUCGUUUCUUUUACUCGUCAGCCGGGCAUACUGUUUGUUGUUGACCGUGGGAAGUCAAGUUCGAAGUUAUGGUGCCUACAUACAGACUGCGUUUACAGCCAAACCACCGCCAGGCAAGGAUACACUGGUCACAGCAACACCGCCGUUGGACCUAGAGCAUUGGGACACCGUCACCUCCUUGAACAAUUUUUAAUUCCCAGCUGAACACCACGGUGGGGAUAUAUAAAAGUGUACAGAAGACCAAAUGAGCACAACCUGCCAUUUCUUCAACAACACAAUCAGUCCAUGACAUUCCAACAGGACAAUGCACCCGCACAUUGUGUACUCCACUCGAAAUUAAAUUCUUAACAGCCCAGAAUAACGUUGCUGCAAUGAAUCAAAGGCCUGCCAUUUCACCAGAUUUUAACCCAGUUGAGCACCUGUGGGGAUUAACUGCGUUGCUCGUGACGUGAAUCCCAGUCCUAGAGCCAUUUCACAGCUGCAGCAAGCCCUCCCUGAUGCCUGAAACAAAAUUUUAAAGGAAGGCUCGUGUGCUCUAUGUGCAAAGAGAUGCACUGAUGUGCUGAAUGCACACGGAGAUCCCACGACGUUCUGAUGCAUGGCUUUUGGAUUUUAUUCCCUCUCGUUACAUUUCAGUCAUAAAAGAGAUAUUUUUGCUAAAAUAUACAAUGUAAUCUUUUCACCUUGCUUCAUCUGUGAAAUACUUCCUAUUUCAUUAUUUUUCAACAGGAGAGACGAACUGAUCGAACACUUAUGAUGGUACUUUUCUUUUUGAUCGCCAGUAUAUUUAUUAUACUUUUAUCAUAGCAGAAUUUAUGCUUCAACCCCCCCCCCCCCUUUACUCCCAUCUGCUGAACUCUACAGGCUGUCGUUGUCAAAGAGGUGUAGCCUAUGAUGGAGCACGGGACAUUGCGAUUGUAUCAUACUUUGCAUUUGUACUAACCAAUUUUAACUUGAUGUUCUUCAAAAGUCCAUAUUAUCCCAAUUUCUCCCAAACCCUUUAUACAAUGUAAUUCUAUUUUGCUCGACAUUGUGUCUGAGAAGUGUACAGAAAAAGUUUUCUUCUUGGAUCCAUCACCUUUUUUUCUACACAAACAAUGCCAUGAAUACCCAGCGGGUCUUUUCGGUGUAAAAAAAAUUAAGUGAAUAAUCGAAACGGAGUAAAAUUUCUUACGUUCUGCUCUUGUCAAGCUGAGCUUUUUUCAAAUAAAACUCGUUAAUAUUAUUAUCAUGCCCUUAUUGAUUUUUCUUUGUUUUUUUCUGGUAGAUCUGUGUUUGUCAAAACAGGAGAACGGGUAUUAUUAGAAUUUGUUUUCAAAUUGU